GACGAAGGGAGCAAGCGUUGCUCGGAAUAAUUGGGCGUAAAGGGUGCGUAGGUGGUUUUUUAAGUCAGGUGUUAAAGGUUGGGACUCAAUCUCAAAAAUGCAUCUGAUACUGAAAAACUUGAGUGUGGGAGAGGAAACAGGAAUUCCUCAUGUAGAGGUGAAAUUCGUAGAUAUGAGGAGGAACACCAGAGGCGAAGGCGAGUUUCUGGAACACUACUGACACUGAGGCACGAAAGCGUGGGGAGCAAACAGG
rnacentral:rRNA from 1 species